rnacentral:pre_miRNA from 1 species
AACAAUUAGGCCACAUACAAAGCUUUCGAUGGCUAGAAAAUCCUUAGUGAUUUUUUAGCCCGCGGAAGUUGUGUUGCCUGGCCAAUAUUACCAUU